GACGGAGGAUGCAAGCGUUAUCCGGAAUGAUUGGGCGUAAAGCGUCUGCAGGUGGCAGUUCAAGUCUGCUGUCAAAGACCGGGGCUUAACUUCGGAAAGGCAGUGGAAACUGAACAGCUAGAGUAUGGUAGGGGCAGAGGGAAUUCCUGGUGUAGCGGUGAAAUGCGUAGAGAUCAGGAAGAACAUCGGUGGCGAAGGCGCUCUGCUGGACCAUAACUGACACUCAGGGACGAAAGCUAAGGGAGCGAAUGGG
rnacentral:rRNA from 1 species